rnacentral:lncRNA from 1 species
CACGUCUCAAUCGACAUCAAAUAAUUGUUAAUAAAUAGUUGUCUAAUAUUUACAUAGUUUUUCAUCCGUACAUAUCUUUAUUACUGAUUUAUAAUGUUUUUCGGAUGGAAGCAAAACUAAAUUACGGAUAAAUAAAGAAUGUGCAAAUUAGUUCAAGAUCAAUAAAUUUAUGUAACUUAUGUUGCUAGUACGGACACCCUAGUAGUCACUUAUUUGCUACUAUUUCUUAGCCAUAUCAUCCUGAUUCUACCCUUUGUCCCAUCAUAGAAAUUGACACAUCACACAUGGCUGCAACAGUCUCAACGUGAUGAAGAGCCAAAUCAGUUUCCUCCUCCGUCUUACACAUGACCUUGCUUCCUGUCAUGUCACAAAAGAAGAAAACAGUCCCUUUCUCUGUAAGAUUGAACAGAGUCAAGCCAUAAAAGAAAAUGGACAAGCUGAUUUUUUCAUCAUGAAAUUUUGUGUUUUGAAAUAGUUACUAAAUAUGUAAUGUUUAGUCCAGCAGCCAAAUGGUUAUACCCCAGAGUUGUUUACAUCAUUGCUUCACUCAUGGUUCAGUGCCAUGAUGGCAUAAAAGAUAUCUUAGAAAAAGCCGGAUACAUAGUAAUGCCUAAUUAACAGAUGGUCAAAGCAAUUAUCAAAAAACAUGAAGAGCAGGUUAACCAUUGUUACAUCCCAAAUCUAUGAGAACAUCUGUAAAUAAUUAUCUGUAAUGGGGUGUUUAGAGUACACCUGCUUUGGUUGUACUGGGGUGUGGUCGAGAGUGGAUGUUCGCAUCCAUUUCGAGGCUUCUUGUACAUUGUAUUUUCUCUCUUUUAUAAAAGUAUGCCUUUGGCGUACUCUCAAAAAAAAAGAAUAUCUGUAAAUUGUAGAAGAAAAUGGCGCAGUUAUGAAAAGAAAACAAAGCUUUAACCUUGGUGUAGUAAAAACUAAAAGGUAACUUAUCCCUACAGUCUAAUAACAGAACAACACAUGAGUAAACAACUUGCUGUUUUCUGUAAAGGGUGAAUUUCAUUGGCAGCAUGUCUGAACUAUCAUAAUAAAAUUAGUCAGGCCUCCUAAAUUUUGUUACUCAAGAAACUAUCUGCAGGUCCCUGAAAUUUUGCUAUGCAUUUUUGGAAGAGAAGAGCACCAUUUCAAAUUCACAAUACUGCGUGAUAGUUUGUUUCUCGAGCCUAAACAAAAGCAAAACUUCCUCUAGACACUUGCUUAAUGUAAGAGCGGAACAAACUUUCAUAAUUUCAAACUGAAGAUUUCAAAGUCAUACACAUGGCAGAUAAUUCAUACUUUAGGAGGAAAUUAGUUUGCCUCCAAAUCCAACAGCAAUCAACAAAAAUACACAUGGAAAAUGGCAUUUAAUAGUACACUGUAAACAGAACACUGAAUGGAUAAUGAUACUAAAAUGUGUUUACAAAGGUCAACAGAAUACAGAUCUUACCAACGAACAAAGAUGAAGUGAUGAACUGACCGGUUUCAGUGAAGUGGCUAAUGUCAUGACCUCGGUUUUCUGCUGAAGCAACUCAUUUUCUCUUUCAGAUAGCUGAACUGCUAAAAUACCCACCUAUGGAAAGUACCAAAAUAUUGAAGUGUUUACAAACAAAGAGAUCAUUUAGGCAUGUAUAUAUAUGUAGGUCGACUGGUGGAGACUUCUUUGAAUAAAAACUCACCUGCUACUAUUUUUUACACAAUGAAACUGUACGUGCUNN